rnacentral:rRNA from 1 species
CAAUAGCGUAUAUUAAAGUUGUUGCAGUUAAAAAGCUCGUAGUUGGACCUUGGACCUGGACAGGCGGUCCGCCUCACGGCGAGUACUGUCUUGCUGGGUCUUUCCUCUUGGUGAUCUGUUGUUUCGGCAGCAGGGAACCAGGACCGUUACUUUGAAAAAAUUAGAGUGUUCAAAGCAGGCUCGACGCCGGAAUAUAUUAGCAUGGAAUAAUAAAAUAGGACGUGCGGUUCUAUUUUGUUGGUUUUUGGAAUCGCCGUAAUGAUUAAUAGGGACAGUCGGGGGCAUUAGUACUCACAUGCUAGAGGUGAAAUUCUUGGAUUUUGUGAAGACUAACUUCUGCGAAAGCAUUUGCCAAGGAUGUUUUCAUUAA